rnacentral:rRNA from 1 species
UCGAAAGGUGGGGUAAUGCCGCAUAUGGUCGCAAGAUCAAAGUCGCAAGACGCUUUAGGAGGGGCCUGCGCCCUAUCAGGUAGUUGGUGAGGUAAUGGCUCACCAAGCCAAUGACGGGUAGCCGGUGUGAGAGCAUGACCGGCCACAAGGUAACUGAGACACGGUGCCUACACCUACGGGUGGCAGCAACUGGGAAUAUUGCGCAAUGGACGAAAGUCUGACGCAGCGACACCGCGUGUGGGAAGAAGCUUUUCGGAGUGUAAACCACUGUGGCAGGGGAACAAUUUUUGAGCGUACCCUGCUAGAAAGCACCUGCUAACUACGUGCCAGAAGCCUCGGUAAUACGUAGGGUGCAAGCAUUAUCCGGAUUUACUGGGCGUAAAGCGUUCCGUCGGCGGUUUAUCAAGUUUCAUCUUUAAUACUGGGGCUCAACUCCAGAUACAGGAUGGAAAACUAGUAAGCUAGAGUUUACUAUGGGGAGCUGGAAUUCUCGGUGGAGGGGUGAAAUCCGUAGAUAUCGAGAGGAACACCAUUCGCGAAGGCGAGCUCCUAGGGUAACACUGACGCUCAGGGACGAAAGCUUGGGUAGCAAAAGGGAUUAGAGACCCCUGUAGUCCAAGCCGUAAACACUCCUUGCUAAUUGCUUGGUCCUUUAUGGAUUGAGUGAUGUAGGCUAACGCGUUAAGCAAGGCGCCUGGGG